rnacentral:rRNA from 1 species
CACGUAGGGUGCGAGCGUUGUCCGGAAUUAUUGGGCGUAAAGAGCUCGUAGGCGGUGUGUCGCGUCGGCCGUGAAAACCUGCAGCUUAACUGUGGGCGUGCGGUCGAUACGGGCAUCACUGGAGUUCGGCAGGGGAGACUGGAGUUCCUGGUGUAGCGGUGAAAUGCGCAGAUAUCAGGAGGAACACCGGUGGCGAAGGCGGGUCUCUGGGCCGAUACUGACGCUGAGGUGCGAAAGCGUGGGGAGCAAACAGG